rnacentral:rRNA from 1 species
ACGCACGCUGGCGGCGUGCUUAAAAAAUGCAAGUCGAACGGUGAAGGGACCGGUUUUUGCUGGUUUUGGAUGAGUGGUGAACGGGUGAGUAAAACGUGAGUAACCUGCCCCCUUCUUCUGGAUAACCGCAUGAAAGUGUGGCUAAUACGGGAUAUUCUGCGCCUGCUGCAUGGUGGGUGUGGGAAAGAUAUUGUUUCGGUGGGGGAUGGGCUCGCGGCCUAUCAGCUUGUUGGUGGGGUGAUGGCCUACCAAGGCGGUGACGGGUAGCCGGCCUGAGAGGGUGGACGGUCACACUGGGACUGAGACACGGCCCAGACUCCUACGGGAGGCAGCAGUGGGGAAUAUUGCACAAUGGGCGCAAGCCUGAUGCAGCGACGCCGCGUGAGGGAUGGAGGCCUUCGGGUUGUAAACCUCUUUCGCCAGUGAAGCAGGCCUGUCCCUUGUGUGGGUGGGUUGACGGUAGCUGGAGAAGAAGCGCCGGCUAACUACGUG